rnacentral:rRNA from 1 species
ACGGGAGGCAGCAGUGGGGGAUAUUGCACAAUGGGGGAAACCCUGAUGCAGCAAUGCCGCGUGAGGGAAGACGGUCUUCGGAUUGUAAACCUAAGUAGUCAGGGACGAAACAAAUGACGUUACCUGAAGAGUAAGCUCCGGCUAACUACGUGCCAGCAGCCGCGGUAAUACGUAGGGAGCGAGCGUUGUCCGGAUUUACUGGGUGUAAAGGGUGCGUAGGCGGGUCUGCAAGUCAGGCGUGAAAUACCGGAGCUUAACUCCGGAGCUGCGCUUGAAACUGUGGAUCUUGAGUGAAGUAGAGGCAGGCGGAAUUCCCAGUGUAGCGGUGAAAUGCGUAGAUAUUGGGAGGAACACCAGUGGCGAAGGCGGCCUGCUGGGCUUUAACUGACGCUGAGGCACGAAAGUAUGGGGAGCAAACAGGAUUAGAUACCCUGGUA